rnacentral:rRNA from 1 species
AUUGAACGCUGGCGGCAGGCUUAACACAUGCAAGUCGAGCGAGCGGCGGACGGGUGAGUAAUGUCUGGGAAACUGCCUGAUGGAGGGGGAUAACUACUGGAAACGGUAGCUAAUACCGCAUACCAUCAGAUGUGCCAAGAUGGGAUUAGCUAGUAGGUGGGGUAAUCGCUCACCUAUGCGGCGCACCCUAGCUGGUCUGAGGGGAUGACCCGCCACAAUGGAACUGAGACCCGGGCCAGACUCCUACGGGAGGCAGCAGUGGGGAAUAUUGCACAAUGGGCGCAAGCCUGAUUCAGCCAUGCGGCGUGUAUGAAGAAGGCCUUCGGGUUGGAAAGUACUUUCAGCGGGGAGGCGUUACUCGAAGAAGAAGCACCGGCUAACUCCGUGCCAGCAGCCGCGGUAAUAC